rnacentral:sRNA from 1 species
GCGGAGGAAAAGAAACCAACAGGGAUUGCCCUAGUAACGGCGAGUGAAGCGGCAACAGCUCAAAUUUGAAAUCUGGCUCUUUCAGGGUCCGAGUUGUAAUUUGCAGAGGGCGCUUUGGCGUUGGCAGCGGUCCAAGUUCUUUGGAACAGGACGUCACAGAGGGUGAGAAUCCCGUACGUGGUCGCCAGCCUUCGCCGUGUAAAGCCCCUUCGACGAGUCGAGUUGUUUGGGAAUGCAGCUCUAAAUGGGAGGUAAAUUUCUUCUAAAGCUAAAUACUGGCCAGAGACCGAUAGCGCACAAGUAGAGUGAUCGAAAGAUGAAAAGCACUUUGGAAAGAGAGUCAAAUAGCACGUGAAAUUGUUGAAAGGGAAGCGCUUGCAGCCAGACUUGCCUGUAGUUGCUUAUCUGGACUUUUGUCCAGUGCACUCUUCUGCGGGCAGGCCAGCAUCAGUUUAGGCGGUUGGAUAAAGGUCUCUGUCAUGUACCUCCUUUCGGGGAGGCCUUAUAGGGGAGACGACAUGCAACCAGCCUGGACUGAGGUCCGCGCAUCUGCUAGGAUGCUGGCGUAAUGGCUGUAAGCGGCCCGUCUUGAAACACGGACCAAGGAGUCUAACAUCUAUGCGAGUGUUUGGGUGUCAAGCCCAGACGCGUAAUGAAAGUGAACGGAGGUGGGAACCCUUUGGGUGCACCAUCGACCGAUCCUGAUGUCUUCGGAUGGAUUUGAGUAAGAGCAUGGCUGUUGGGACCCGAAAGAUGGUGAACUAUGCUUGAAUAGGGUGAAGCCAGAGGAAACUCUGGUGGAGGCUCGCAGCGGUUCUGACGUGCAAAUCGAUCGUCAAAUUUGGGCAUAGGGGCGAAAGACUAAUCGAACUAUCUAGUAGCUGGUUCUG